rnacentral:rRNA from 1 species
AUUGAACGCUGGCGGCAUGCCUUACACAUGCAAGUCGAACGGCAUCGCGGGAAAGCUUGCUUUCCUGGCGGCGAGUGGCGCACGGGUGAGUAACACAUCGGAACUUACCGGCUAGUGGGGGAUAACCCGUCGAAAGACGGGCUAAUACCGCAUACGCUCUUCGGAGGAAAGCAGGGGACCUUUGGGCCUUUCGCUAGUCGAGCGGCCGAUGUCCGAUUAGCUAGUUGGUGGGGUAAAGGCCUACCAAGGCGACGAUCGGUAGCGGGUCUGAGAGGACGAUCCGCCACACUGGGACUGAGACACGGCCCAGACUCCUACGGGAGGCAGCAGUGGGGAAUCUUGGACAAUGGGGGCAACCCUGAUCCAGCAAUGCCGCGUGGGUGAAGAAGGCCUUCGGGUUGUAAAGCCCUUUCGGCAGGGAAGAAAUCGGCGGGGCGAAUAACCCUGCUGGAUGACGGUACCUGCAGAAGAAGCACCGGCUAACUACGUG